GCUAGAUCGACAGGAGCACCCAGCAGCCAACUGGUCCCAACCACCCCAGGCCCUGCCAGAAGUAUGGAGGGUGUCCAGUCCUUUUCUCCAUUCCUAGACCCCCAGAGCAACUUCAGGGACUCAUCUCAACAAGUAUAUUCCCAAUUUAUUUCUUUUUUUCUCCCAGAUCUAAAUGAUCAUGAUGAUGGUGGAAACAGUGAUGAUGAGGAUGAGGAUGAUGAUGAUGAUGUCAUAAAACUAAAAUUAUUAAGCACUGAGUACUGGUCAGGAUGCUUUAGAAACAUCAGUUCAUCAAAUCCUCUCAACAACCUUGUUUUACAGCUUGUCAACUCAUGGGACCUGGCAUGUAUUAAUUAGGAGGAUGGUCUGGAGCCCAACACAGCUUGAUGGAAAGCCAGUCUGAGUAGGGAAUUGGGCAGAGAAUCAGAAAGAAGCUGAACCAAGCAGCAGAGGGGAUGAUGGCUUAAGACCAUGACCCAAUUUUCAGACCUAAGGUCUUAAUAUGGAUGGGGAACACUGUACUGAGGGGCUCAGUGCCUUCCCUUCAAAAUCCUUUGUCCAUUUCUGAGUGUCCUUCCCUUGGCUUCUCUCUCUCUUUUUUUUUUUUUUGAGACAGAGUCUUGCUGUCUCCCAGGCU